rnacentral:lncRNA from 1 species
GAAACUCUUUAUUAUCUAUAAUUAAUCUAUGCUAACAUUUAAAAAGGUCAGGCAUAUUGGGGCACACCUGUAAUCCCAGCAUUCAGGACGUGGAGUCAGGAGGAUCAGGAGUUCAAGGUCAGGUUUACCAUAGAGUGAGUUUAAGAUCAGCCUGGCCUACAUGAGAUCUGUCAUGGGGAUCACUUGGGCACCUUUUUCUCCAUGGUGACCGGGCCAGCUGUGGGUCGAGUGUACACGUGCCACAGGACAGGAGGGCAGGCAGCCAGUGGCCCUUGAGUGAGGCUGGUGCAUUCAUUUUAGGUCCGUUUGGGAAAAGCCCUGGGCCACAUCCAGGCAACUGCAAGGCCUCUGGGCCCUGUGUCCACCUGCUGCAUUUUGGUCCCAUCCCAAGGCUGAGGCAAAGGCACAAGGCCAGCUGUUUGCCAAGCUGCUGGUUCCAGCUUCCAAGCCAACUGCUGGUAGGUGGAAAGGAACGUGUGGCUACCGACCUCUUGGCCAGUAAUGAAAAGAAGUAAUGUCUCUUCACCACAGAGACAAAGAGAGACUGUUAGGUGUCCAAACCCAUGAGUUGUCACAGCAAGCUUCAUUGCGAUCCCCAGUAGAGACACACACACCUUGGCCUCUGGCACCUGUCAGUGUGUCCAUUCACAGAUCUCUAGCCGAUGUGCUUGUGUUGAAUCUGGAAAGAGUGAGUCCUGGAUUUAAGGAGACCCUGAAUGCAGUUCCAAGUGUCCUUGAAAGGAGGUCAUGUGGAGUCAGGACAGGAAGGCUGAAGAGAUAUGAUCCCUCCCUCCAGGCAAGGCAUGUCUGGAGAUGCAGGCAGCAGGAAGCAGCGUCUCCCAGCCAGUGCUAUGAGCACUGCCUUGCUCACAGCUGGAUUUUGAACUCUGACUCCCAGAACUAUGAGAAGAGAUUUGUCUGUGUGCCGCUACCUGGUUUCUGGGCCUUUUUGACACACACAGCCCCAGGAUGGUCAUUCAGCUCAGGCUUCAGGCCAGGCCAGGGGAUACCUGCUCUGUUGGUCACACUCCAGUGCAGAAGAACAAGCCUCUACCUCCUGGGAGUCUCCAGGCCUGACCACACACACUGGGCAGCUCUAGAUACUCCAUAUCAGGAGUUCCUCGUGUCCUUGGUAGAAAUGCGACAAUUAGAGCCCCGGCAGGUCCCUGAGUAUAAAGUUGAGGACUCCAUUGGAUUAAUAAGCAGAAGGGUGGGUGCUAGACGGGGAGGAGGGAAGAAGGAGCACUCUAGAUGGGGAGGAGGAAGGAACACUCUAGAUGGAAAGGAGCACUCUAGAUGGGGAGGACAGAAGAAGGAGCACUCUAGAUGGGGAAAAGAGAAGAAGGAGCAUUCUAGAUGGGGAGGAGGGAAGAAGGAGCACUCUAAAUGGGGAAAAGGGAAGAAGGAGCACUCUAGAUGGGGAGGAGGGAAGAAGGAGCACUCUAUCCAAUGAGCAGACCAAAAAACGCCAGCUUGCUGUGAAUCGCCAUGGCAAGUUUAAUGUUUUCUGGAAAGAGCAGGGUAGAGCACAGGAGGCAGCAGCCUCUGCUGUAGGCACACCCAUGGAAGUGGCUUGGAGAGUCUGACCAGCAGAAGCCCCUUCGGAGGUGGCAUAUACGUACAUUGAGCUCCAGAAGGAAAAGAGAGGGAUCCUAACCAAGGGCCACCAGGAAGCAGCAAGCAAGGCCUAGUUGGCACAAAGCAGAUAUCCAGUGGCCCAGGCCCUGGGGAUCAACACGGGGUGAGAUGGGGAAAGAACACAGGCUCUCUGCAAUCAGAGAAUCAGGCCUGAGGCCUUCCCUGAGUCUGAGCUAGGGGCGGGAUAGCCUGUGUCCUCUUCUACCACUUGGGGUUGACCCGGGAAUAGGUAGAUUUUUAUAGCUCUACCCCAGCUCUGGGUCUCAAAGGAAGUCCCUCUCACGUGUCCAUAAGCUGACUAGGGCUGUGUCAGGGCUGGGCAGGUCUAUCAGACUCAUCCGCUCUAGCAGGUUAAAGUAUCAAGUUCCCAGACAGGAUGCUGAACUGGGAAGGAAGCAGGGCACUAGGGAUGGUGAAGGGCAGUUUGGGAACCCAAAUCCGAGCCCUGGUCCUUCCAUGGUUAAUUCACCAAGAAGGAGGAAGGGGAACUGAUGUCCCAACAGGCAAGAGAGCCCUCCCACCCUGGGGUCCAGAGUGACUGGGGAAGUGGAGCAGAGCAGAGAGGUACUGGGACAUAGUAGGAGCUUUAUUUCUUACAGAGAAAGCUGCAGGAGUCCCUGAGGUUCCCAGCUGCUGUCAGGAUCCUGUGAGUUGGGGCAAGCAGGAUGCUGCCACCAGCCCAGAGCCAACCACAGGGGGCACUUGCUGUUCUCCCCCAACCCUUUUACUAGUGUGGCUCAGAAAGAUUGACCAGCCCCUGGGCAAGGCUAUAGCAUGUCAACAGAGCUCGGAGGUCAGUCCUGCUGUCCCCAGGAAAGCUCAUAUGUGAUCUAGAGUUAAGUCAGAUGUGGUUUCCAAACCCACAAACUGCAGCUACUCUGUUGCCAUUCAUGUUUUUCCUAUGCCUCAGUUUCCCCAAUACAAAUAGCUCUCGCUCUCUCUCUCUCCCCAUCCCUCCCUCCAGCUGGCUGGAAAGCCAAAACUAACACCACCUUUCUUUCUCUUUUCUGCUUGACUUCGUUCCUAAGAAACCCAUGAUAUUUGCUUACUUGUGUCCAGGAAUGGGAACACACAGGGGCUGUGCUCUGGAACACCCUGUGGCCACGGGACAACACAGCACAGGGUCGUCUAAGGCUGUGUACACAGAAGGAGCUGGAGGCCCCCCAAUAUCCUCACAGGCUCCCCGCCCAAUGAUUUCAUCUGCCGGCAGCUCUCUGCUUAGAGUAGCAGCCAGAUCUGGGAUCGCACCGUCCUUUGGGAUUCCCAGUGGCCAAGGGCAUCUUGUCAAAAGCCAAAACUUUGGAAGCCAAGGCCAAGGAAGCCAGGAUGGAGCAGAGAGAAAAUGGGGUCAGCCCGGGGCAGGACUCCAGUGUCUGUAGAAUGCAGGGAUAGGUCAGGGUGCCAGGCAAGGAGGUCAGCAGUCCACAAAAGCUCCACAGGAGUGUCCACUAGGGCUCAGAGGCUGGCUUGACCAGGUAGCCACUGAAGGUGAUGUAGGUGUCGAACUCGUCACUGAAAAUGGCGUUCUCACGCUCGCCCUUGAAGAGACGCACCCAGACCUCAUCCUCCUCCCGCAGCUCCAUCAUCAGGCUCUGACUCUGCAUGAUGCUGCGGUCGCUCACCUGCGCAUACAGGAUCACCACCUCCUCCUCGUUCUUCAUGAUGUGCAGGUACGUCUCCUUCUGGUUCCAAGUGUGCACGUUGAGGCUGAAGAAGUAGAUGCCCGGCACAUAGCAGUAGAACUUCCCAGUGAACAUAUUGAAGUGUUUGUAGAGGUUCACAAACUCCGUGUCGAAGACCACGGGCUGGAAGUAGUCGUUGCUGUGCAAAGCCUUCUUCCGGCCCACGGAGAAGGCUGCGUACUGGCUCUUGCAGUGGUUCCCAGGGGCUCCAAUGGAUCCCUUCUGCCCUUUGGGGCCAACAUGGCCCCUGGGACCUGUAGAACCUAUUUUGCCGUACUUCCCCUGGAGGCCUCGAUCCCCUCGGUCACCU